AGAGAGAGAGGGAUGAGAGGAGGGACAGAGAGAGAGGGGUGAGAGGAGGGACAGAGAGAGAGGGAUGAGAGGAGGGACUGAGAGAGCGGGGGGUGAGAGGAGGGACAGAGAGAGAGAGGGAUGAGAGGAGGGACAGAGAGAGAGAGGGAUGAGAGGAGGGACAGAGAGAGAGGGGUGAGAGGAGGGACAGAGAGAGAGAGGGGUGAGAGGAGGGACAUAGAGAGAGAGGGGUGAGAGGAGGGACAGAGAGAGAGAGGGGUGAGAGGAGGGACAUAGAGAGAGAGGGAUGAGAGGAGGGACAGAGAGAGAGCGGUGAGAGGAGGGACAGAGAGAGCGGGGUGAGAGGGGGGUCAGAGAGAGAGGGGUGAGAGGAGGGACAGAGAGAGAGGGGUGAGAGGAGGGACAGAGAGAGAGGGAUGAGAGGAGGGACAGAGAGAGAGGGAUGAGAGGAGGGACAGAGAGAGAGAGAGAGAGAGAGAGAGAGAGAUGAGAGGAGGGACAGAGAGAGAGGCCUGAGAGAGACAGCUGAGAUCAAAAGGAUGAGAUGGAGAGAAAGGGCUGUAAAAGAGCCAGAUUGACACGAGUCGAUAAGUGAAAACUACAUCCCCCACACUCACCUGAAGUCAUUCUGGCCUUCUCUGAGCUCUUUUCUCCUUCCUCCUCUCUCUUCUGUAGGCUGUGUGUGUGUUUCCUAAUGGGUACCAUGCCCUGCCCACCCUUCUCCUGGGGGUGCCGGUCUGCCAGUGCCAGGACUGGGGGUGAACAUCGCCAACCCUCACCCUCUCUGGCACCAUCUCUAGCCCCCUCCCAGGUCUCCUGCCCUGGAUACAGGCUCUCUCUCUGGCCCCCACACCUCUGGAGGACUGGGACUCUGUUGUUCCCAUAGUCCUGCCUUCCACCUAGACCAGGGAGGAAGAUAAAGAGAGGAGAGAAGGGAAGCGGAGGAGAGAGAAGCCAUGGAGAGAGGUGAGAGAUGGUGUGUGAUGAGAGAGUGAGGGAAAGAGAGGUGAGAGAUGGUGGGUGAUGAGAGAGUGAGGGAAAGAGAGGUGAGAGAUGGUGGGUGAUGAGAGAGUGAGGGAAAGAGAGGUGAGAGAUGGUGGGUGAUGAGAGAGUGAGGGAAAGAGAGGUGAGAGAUGGUGGGUGAUGAGAGAGAGAGGGA
ensembl:lncRNA